rnacentral:lncRNA from 10 species
UAGCAUUAGAUCCACCAGGUUUGCAUAACAUUCUUUAAAAAACCCUUCCAAACUUUAUUUCUCUAUAACUUAUAUUGAUAAUCAUUGAGAGAAGGCACUUUUAUGAUUUAUGAUUAUUAUUUAUUAUGUCCAUGUCUUGGCUUCUUCAUAUAUUGAAGAUACGUAUGUAUAUAGGAGACCUCUCUACUAAGGCCGUCUAGUUCCCCCAUAACUCCACAAGGUUUACAUUCUUUGUAUUAUGCUAGAUGUUGCUGGCGGUAGUAGGCAAGGUUUAAUAGUCUUGAUUUUACCCAAUGAAGAAGCUGAAAUCAUGGGAAGUCAGUGAGGCAUUCACUAAAAUUCAUUUAUUCUACAUUAAUUGCUAACAAUUUACCCUGUUUCAUACCAUGUCAGGUUUCCACCCCUUGCUCCUAAUCUCCAAUCUUUCUCAUAUUUUGAACUCGGUUUGGAUUCCCGCUAAAAGACUAACAGUUACUAAAUCAUCCCCACAAGCCAACUGCUUUUAAAAAGACCUCUACUACAACACAAGAUGGUGCCACUAGCAUAUUAUGGUCAACACUUUGUGCCAUUAGACUACUUCUACCAACUGUCCUCAGCCAAUACAUUAACACAUCAACAUACAGGUGAAAAACUAAAUCAAUUCAAUAACCUUAAUUAGAAUCUAUGUUGUGACAGUUUCUCCAGGUGUUCUGAAUGUAUUACUUUAAAGUAUAUGUCCCUAAUAUACCAUUUUUCAUAAAAAAUAAAGAGGAAUACAUGAUUAGAAAAAACACAAUAGAGUGUCAUACAUUUUUAUUUGUAAGAAUAUUUAUGUUUAAACAACACACAAAGAAUAUAUAAAUUAAAAUCUUAUAGUAAUUUAUUCUAACUAUAGCUGUAUUUUUCUAAUUUCUCCUUUUUUUCUCUGAUUAUUAUAACAAAAUCAAUAUGAUUUAUUAUUACUGGUAAUAUUUGGCAGACUUUUUUAUAUUCUAUAUUGUUUUUAAUGAAGAAGUAUAGGCAAAACAUCUUCAAGACAGAUGUACUUAAUUUUAUAUUUCUGAGGCGGUGUAUAAUUGUAGGAAUUGGAAGAUUGAAAAUCACUGUGGGACAUAGGGCUGCUUGAAGGUGAAUGAGUGUCCUUUACAACAUAGCUUCUUGCAAUGAAAAAACAAACAAACAAACAAAAAACAAACAAACAAAAAGCCCCUAUGGCAAUACAUUAAUAGGCUUGAAAGCACACUUGCCAAUUUUAACCCAAUAGUCACUGGUCCUGUGAGUGAUGAAGUCUACUUGCUUGAGAGUUGAAUGGAGACAGCAUUUAUAUUAUUUGCCCAUGGGUCAAAUCACAUAAUCCACUAGAAUGCUUAGAUUCCAGGCCUGUCUUAACUUAGAUAUGUGAAGUCAGUCUAGGACUUGAUAAUUAAUAAACAUGUGGCAAAAUAUUAUGACAGAUAUCACCCACAUGCACACAUAUAACAUAUGCUUUCCUUAGAAGCUAUGAUAAUGUGGUUGACCUACAUUAUGGUAUAUCAUGGUAGGUAACCCCUGUGCAAUUUUGUGUUUUGCUGCUGAGAAUUUGAUGAAGAUUUGUAAAAUUUUGUGUUGUGUUACUAAGGAUUCAAUGAAGAUUUAUAAAAUUCCUGUUGAUAACCGGACAGUUUCCUUAGGUUUGAAGAUAUCUCAGACACUUUAUGAGGUUGAUUUUCUACUUAAAAAAAUUAUUUUAGGGCAAAUUUAUAUUUUUCAGAAAAAAUUCUGCUAUAAUGCACUUUGUAUAUUAAAAACAGUCCAGGUGUAGGCACUAAAGGCUAUGAAUUUUCCUCUUAGCAAUAACUCUACUGUUUCCCAGAGGUUUUGAUAGAUUGUGUUACCAUUAUCAUUCAGUUAAAAUAGUAUUUUUUUUUUUUUUUUUUUUUUUUUAGCCAGAGUCUCACUCUGUCACCAGGCUGGAGUGCAGUGGCAUGAUCUUGGCUCACUGCAACUUCUGCCACCCAGGUUCAAGUGAUUCUCCUGCCUCAGCCUCCCAACUAGCUGAGACUACAGGCACACGCCACCAUGCCCAGCUAAUUUUUUUGUGGUUUUAGAAGAGACGGGGUUUCACCAUGUUGGCCAGGAUGGUCUCGAUCUCUUGACCUCAUGAUCUGCCCACCUCAGCCUCCCAAAGUGCUGGGAUUAUAGGCGUGAGCCACCGCGCCUCAGCCUCCUGAGUAGCUGGGACUACAGGCACGUGCCACCACACCUAGCUAAUUUUUUUGUAUUUUUAGUAGAGACCGGAUUUCACCAUGUUGGCCAGGGUGCAGGAUGGUCUCCAUCUCUUGACUUUGUGAUCCACCCACCUCCGCCUCCUAAACUGCUUGGAUUACAGACAUGAGCCACUGCACUUGGCAAAAGAAUUUUUUAAUUUCUAGCUUGAUUUCAUUGUUGACCCAAUGAUAAUUCAAGAGUAAGUUAUUUAAUUUCCAUGUAUUUGCAUGGUUUUGAGGGUUCCUUUUGGAGUUGAUUUCCAAUUUUAUUCCACUGUGGUCUGAUACUUGAUAUAAUUUCAAUUUUCUUAUAUUUACUGAGACUUGUUUUGUGGCCUAUCAUAUGGUCUACCUUGGAUAAAGUUCCAUGCACUGAUGAAUAGAAUUUGUAUUCCCCGACUAUUUUGUAGAAUGUUCUGUAAAUAUUUGUUAAGUCCACUUGUUCUAGGGUAUAAUUUAAUCCAUUGUUUAUUUGUUGACUUCCUGUCUUGAUGACCUGUCUAAUGCUGUUAAUGUAAUAUUGAACUCCCCCACUGUUAUUGUGUUGCAAUCUAUCUCAUUUCUUAGGUCUAGUAGUAAUAAUUGUUUUAUAAAUUUGGGGGCUCCAGUGUUAGAUGCAUAUAUAUUUAAGAUAGUGAUAUUUUCCUUUGGACAUGGCCCUCUAUCAUUAUAUAAUGUUUCUCUUUGUCUUUUUAACUGCUGUUGCUUUAGUUUGUUUUGUCUCAUAUAAGAAUAGCUACUCCUGCUUGCUUUUGAUGUCCAUUUGCAUGAAAUGUCUUUUUCCACCUCUUUAUGUUAAGUGUAUGUGAGUUCUUAUUUGUUAGGUGAGUCUCUUGAAGGCAGCAGAUACUUGGUUGGUGAACUCUUAUCUAUUCUGCAAUUCUGUAUCAUUUAAGUGGAGCAUUCAGGCCACUUACAUUCAAUGUUAGUAUUGAGAUGUGAAGUACUGUUCCAUUCAUUGUGCUAUUUGUUGCCUGUAUACCUUGGGUUUUUUAAUUGUAUUUUUGUUUUAUAGGUCCUAUGAGAUUUUAAAGGGUUUAUGUUUUGAUGUGUUUCCAGGAAUUGUUUCAAGAUUUAGAGCUCCUUUUAGCAGUUCUUACGGUGCUGGCUUGUUAGUGAUGAACUCUCUCAGUCUUUGUCAGGAAAAGACUAUGUUUCCUUCAUUUAUAAAACUUAGUUUUUCUGGAUACAAAAUUCUUGGCUUAUCAUUGCUUUGUUUAUGGAGGCUAAAGAUAGGGCUUCAAUCCCUUCUAGCUUGUAGGGUUUCUGCUGAGUAAUCUGCUGUUAAUCUGAUAGAUUUUCCUUUAUAGAUUACCUGUUGCUGUUGCCUCACAGCUAGUAAGAUUCUUUCUUCAUCUUGACUUUAAUCUCUAGUAAGGCUGGGAAAGUUUUCUUUGAUUAUUCCCCUAAAUAUGUUUUCCAAACUUUUAGAUGCAGAAAAAAUAAAAUACUUCGGAAUAUACCUAACCAAGGAGGUGAAAGACCUCUACAA